rnacentral:ncRNA from 1 species
CAGUGUGAUGGACUGCCUUUUGCAUAAUGAGCCUGCGAGUUGUGGUGUCUGGCGAGGUUAAGGAAACCCGGAGCCGUAGCGAAAGCGAGUCUUAAUAGGGCGAUUAGUCAGAUGCUGCAGACCCGAAACGAUGUGAUCUAUCCAUGAGCAGGUUGAAGCCGGUGUAAGAGCCGGUGGAGGACCCAACCGACGGCCGUUGAAAAGGCUCCGGAUGACUUGUGGAUAGGGGUGAAAGGCCAAUCAAACAUCGUGAUAGCUGGUUCUCUCCGAAAUAUAUUGAGGUAUAGCGUCGUGUAGUAGUUAUAAGGGGUAGAGCACUGAAUGGGCUAGGGCAUACACCAAUGUACCAAACCCUAUCAAACUCCGAAUACUUAUAGCGUAACCACGGCAGUCAGGCGGCGAGUGAUAAAAUCCGUCGUCAAGAGGGAAACAACCCGGACUAACAGCUAAGGUCCCCAAAUCUCAUUUAAGUGGAAAACGAUGUGAAGUUACUGAAACAACCAGGAGGUUGGCUUAGAAGCAGCCAUCCUUUAAAGAUAGCGUAAUAGCUCACUGGUCUAGUGAUUUUGCGCGGAAAAUAUAACGGGGCUAAAAUGAGUACCGAAGCUUUAGA